AGAGCCAAUAAGAGCAGUGAGUGUAGCAGUGCAGGUGUCAUCCCGCCCCAAGCAUCUUGGAAAUGUGGGACGGCGUACCACAGGUUGGUGGGGGCCAUAUGGCUCACAGCCAGUGUUAUAAGAACAGACCACAUCACUGAAGUGGGACAGAGCACUGAGAAGAAGAAAUUUCAACUGAAGCUGCACAGCUAUACACACGUGAAGACAUUAUGAGACAGACAAUGCAGAACAUCAACAG